AACGCGAAGAACCUUACCUAGGUUUGACAUCCCUUGACAAUCUUAGAAAUAAGACUUUGUAGCAAUACACAAGGAGACAGGUGCUGCAUGGCUGUCGUCAGCUCGUGUUGUGAAAUGUUGGGUUAAGUCCCGCAACGAGCGCAACCCCUGGAUUUAGUUGCCAGCAUUAAGUUGGGCACUCUAAAUUAACUGCCAGCGUUAAGCUGGAGGAAGGUGGGGAUGACGUCAAGUCCUCAUGGCCCUUACACCUAGGGCUACACACGUAAUACAAUGGAUAGGACAAAGGGCAGCGAACCAGCGAUGGGGAGCUAAUCUCAAAAACCUAUCCUCAGUUCGGAUUGGAGGCUGCAAUUCGCCUCCAUGAAGGCGGAAUCGCUAGUAAUCGUGGAUCAGAACGCCACAGUGAAUACGUUCCCGGGCCUUGUACACACCGAGUAUA
rnacentral:rRNA from 1 species